CAGCGGACGAUAAAAGGCUUCUCAUUGGCGCUGAGGUUCGAUCUAUAUACGUGGCGGAGGAGGUCGAGUCUGAAAGAAAAGCACCCUCAGCUGUGUGUGUGUGCGUGUUCCAUCGAUUGCCGAAACGAGGUGAAGCGGCGUGUGGUGAUUCUCCGCAGUCUCGCUACUCUUCCUCGAACUAAAUCAUCAAACAACAACGAAACAGCUCUGUUUUGUGCGACCAAUGGGCAAGGGCGAUGCGCGCACACGCAGCGGCCGUUUCCGUGGUCGAGGACGAGGCGGCGGCUCUGGCGGUGUAUGCUCGACGAGUGGGUUCCACAGCAACGAGCCACCAGCUCAUCCGUGCAGCGUGCCACUUGCCAUGUGGGACUUCGAGCAGUGCGACCCCAAUGCCUGUUCUGGCAAGAAGUUGUAUCGCCUGAACGCGCUGCGCCUCCUGCGCCUCAACGAGCCAUUCCACGGCGUGGUACUGACCCCAAGCGCGACGGAGAUCGUCAGUCCCGCCGAUCGCGGCAUUGUGCUGCAGAACGGGGCCGCUGUUGUGGACUGCUCAUGGAAGGAGCUGGAUGCCGUGCCGUGGCGAAAAAUGCGCAUGUCGGCCCCACGGCUUUUGCCACUGCUGCUGGCAGCUAACCCUGUGAAUUACGGCCGACCGUCGAAGCUGAACUGCGCAGAGGCCCUGGCGGCGACACUGGCGAUUGUGGGCCUGAUGGACGACGCCCGAAGCAUCAUGGCGUACUUCUCCUAUGGAGCGAGCUUCUUUGACGUGAAUCGUGAGUUACUGGCCGGCUACCAGAAGUGCGCGAACUCCGCGGAGAUAUCUGCCUUUCAGGACAAGUACGUGGAGACGGAGCUGCAGGAGAGUGAGGCACGGCGCGGCCUCGACUUGGAUUCGAUAGACCUGUCGGCUGCUCGCCCGCUGAAUGAGCGCCGCGGACGUCUAAAAAACCGACGCGAAUGGCAGCAACCUUCAUGCUCUGAAGAUGACGAAGAGAACGACAAGGCUGGGGAGGACGAAGGCUCCGAUUGGGGUGCUAACGCGCGUGCCGGAGAAGAGGACGAAGACAGGAGGGGAUUCGAAUGCGCCGCCGCAGAUAACACGGAGGAGACGGCGUGAGCGCGCGGGGGUGGGUGGGGCAGACGCGCACGGGAUGAUGCGGGCGCUUAUGUGUGAGUGUGUAGGGCGGCGCCGGCUCAAGGGGAGAGCUCAGGCACCCACCUUCUACUGUGAUGCGUCUCCGCAGCCUGUCAGCCUUGAUCUAGUUCUCUACUUCACACUUUCUACAUCACUCGCGCCUCUGGCUCUCCGCGCACGCACACACACACACACAAACAGACAAUCCACCAGGGCAAGUGAUGACUUAAUAUCGAGUAAGCAUACAAGCACCUGCGCAGUCGCGUAGAUGUGACAU
rnacentral:misc_RNA from 1 species